GGGGGUAUAGCUCAGUUGGCUAGAGUGCUUGCAUGGCAUGCAAGAAGUCGUGGGUUCGAAUCCCACUAUCUCCACCA
rnacentral:tRNA from 1 species